GUUAGUCUAGUUUAUUAGAAUGUUAAGUUGUGGUCUUAAAGGAGGGUAGUGUAAUAUCCGAUUAGC
rnacentral:tRNA from 1 species